rnacentral:rRNA from 1 species
UACGAAGGGGGCUAGCGUUGCUCGGAAUCACUGGGCGUAAAGGGCGCGUAGGCGGCCAUUCAAGUCAGAGGUGAAAGCCCAAGGCUCAACCUUGGAAUUGCCUUUGAUACUGUUUGGCUUGAGACCGGAAGAGGUUAGUGGAACUGCGAGUGUAGAGGUGAAAUUCGUAGAUAUUCGCAAGAACACCAGUGGCGAAGGCGGCUCACUGGCCCGUUACUGACGCUGAGGCACGAAAGCGUGGGGAGCAAACAGGG